AUGGCACUAGUCAAGACUUUGGAACUCCUAGACGGGUACAGAUAUGGGAACUGCAGGAAAACAAAACACUUCGGACUGCAAUUCAAUAUUCUGGUCAUUAUUUUCUUCUCUACAGGCAUUCAGAGGAUAGUAGGGUACAUAUGUGUGUAUAUAUGUAUAAUUUGGGACUUUUUCCCUAAAAAAGAAAGCAAGAGUAACAAUUGGAUGGGCCAAGGAGACACAGAAAGAAUCCACAGGGUAGAACGUGCCCAAAAUAGAGCUACUGAAGACUAUUAUCCUUAAAGAGGAGGAAAGCUGGUGUCUGAAACCUUACCUGACCUUGGCCAAGUUACUUAACCUCUUGGAGUGGGAUUUUCUCAUCUGUCAGGUGAAGCCAUGUUACAGGAUUGUUGUGAAAAUUGAAUGAUGUAAUGUCUAUAAAGGAUCUGACACGGAGAAGGAAUUGACCUGUGUUUCUCCAUCAUUUAGUCAUGAAAUAAUCAGUCUAAUAUGGCACCUCAAACCUCAUUUUCUUUAUUUGUGAAAUAGCAAAGAGCACACAUCUCUGAGGGUUGUGGAAAGAGUAGAUGAAGAAUCGAUGUAAGGCGCUUGGAACAGCAGUUGCUCCAUGCACAGAGGUAGUGAGUGGUGGUAGUAAGAGUAGUUACAGAACAAUUUUGUGAUCGCCAUGAACAGAUCUAAGGAGCAUCUAAAACGUGC
rnacentral:lncRNA from 1 species